UUGACGAAACAGGGGUGCUUCGCGCGUGGUUUUAAGCGUGACGAGGCUGAGAGAGACCCUUUGCACCCGAUCCGGGUAAUACCGGCGAGGGAAGUUUCCGGAGCACGCGU
rnacentral:ncRNA from 2 species